AACGAACGCUGGCGGCAUGCCUAACACAUGCAAGUCGAACGAGACCUUCGGGUCUAGUGGCGCACGGGUGCGUAACGCGUGGGAAUCUGCCCUUGGGUUCGGAAUAACUUCGGGAAACUGAAGCUAAUACCGGAUGAUGACGUAAGUCCAAAGAUUUAUCGCCCAAGGAUGAGCCCGCGUAGGAUUAGCUAGUUGGUGAGGUAAAGGCUCACCAAGGCGACGAUCCUUAGCUGGUCUGAGAGGAUGAUCAGCAACACUGGGACUGAGACACGGCCCAGACUCCUACGGGAGGCAGCAGUGGGGAAUCUUAGACAAUGGGCGCAAGCCUGAGUCUAGCCAUGCCGCGUGAGCGAUGAAGGCCUUAGGGUUGUAAAGCUCUUUCAGAUGGGAAGAUAAUCGACGGUACCAUCAGAAGAAGCCCCCGGCUAACUCCGUGCC
rnacentral:rRNA from 1 species